rnacentral:rRNA from 1 species
AGAGUUUGAUCCUGGCUCAGGAUGAACGCUGGCGGCGUGCUUAACACAUGCAAGUCGAACGAAGCGCUUGAGAAGAUUUCUUCGGAAUGAAACUUAAGUGACUGAGUGGCGGACGGGUGAGUAACGCGUGGGUAACCUGCCUCAUACAAGGGGAUAACAGUCAGAAAUGACUGCUAAUACCGCAUAAGCGCACAGUACCGCAUGGUACGGUGUGAAAAACUCCGGUGGUAUGGGAUGGACCCGCGUCUGAUUAGCUAGUUGGUGGGGUAACGGCCUACCAAGGCGACGAUCAGUAGCCGGCCUGAGAGGGCGACCGGCCACAUUGGGACUGAGACACGGCCCAAACUCCUACGGGAGGCAGCAGUGGGGAAUAUUGCACAAUGGGGGAAACCCUGAUGCAGCGACGCCGCGUGAGCGAAGAAGUAUUUCGGUAUGUAAAGCUCUAUCAGCAGGGAAGAAAAUGACGGUACCUGACUAAGAAGCCCCGGCUAACUACGUGCCAGCAGCCGCGGUAAUACGUAGGGGGCAAGCGUUAUCCGGAUUUACUGGGUGUAAAGGGAGCGUAGACGGACUGGCAAGUCUGAUGUGAAAACCCGGGGCUCAACCCCGGGACUGCAUUGGAAACUGUCAGUCUAGAGUGUCGGAGGGGUAAGUGGAAUUCCUAGUGUAGCGGUGAAAUGCGUAGAUAUUAGGAGGAACACCAGUGGCGAAGGCGGCUUACUGGACGAUAACUGACGUUGAGGCUCGAAAGCGUGGGGAGCAAACAGGAUUAGAUACCCUGGUAGUCCACGCCGUAAACGAUGAAAUCUAGGGGUUGGGAAGCAAAGCUUUUGGGGCCCCCAGCCAACCCAUUAAGUAUUUUCCCCCGGGGAGUACUUUGCAAGAAUGAACCUCAAAGAAUUGGACGGGGACCCCCCACAGCCGUGGAGCAUGGGUUUAAUUCGAAGCAACGCGAGGAACUUUACCAGGUCUGGACAUCCCGAUGACGGGCCGUACGGGGGCCUUUCUUCGGAGCAUNGGAGACAGUGGGUGCAUGGUNGUCGUCAGCUCGUGUCGUGAGAUGUUGGUUAAGUCCCGCAACGAGCGCAACCCUUAUCUUCAGUAGCCAGCAGGUCAAGCUGGGCACUCUGUGGAGACUGCCAGGGAUAACCUGGAGGAAGGUGGGGAUGACGUCAAAUCAUCAUGCCCCUUAUGAUCUGGGCUACACACGUGCUACAAUGGCGUAAACAAAGGGAGGCAAAGCCGCGAGGUGGAGCAAAUCCCAAAAAUAACGUCUCAGUUCGGACUGCAGUCUGCAACUCGACUGCACGAAGCUGGAAUCGCUAGUAAUCGCGAAUCAGAAUGUCGCGGUGAAUACGUUCCCGGGUCUUGCACACACCGCCCGUCA